rnacentral:misc_RNA from 1 species
UACAACCAGAAUGAAUGAUGAAUUUUCUGUACCAAGAUGAAAAAAUUGAUUUUAAACAGUCUGAUUCCUUCUAUGGACCGGGAAAGAGCUUUUCUUUUGGGUGAGAGAGAGUGGAAGAAGUGGUGGUGAAGGGUAUCCAAUGUGAUUAGAUUGAGCUAUUUGACCAGUUAUUCAUUUGUUUUAAGUUUCUGAUGUCAGGAUUGAGAUCUGAUCGUUUAUCUUCUGUUUUCUUCUGUUCAGAUGGAUGAAUGUGGUGACCUU